rnacentral:rRNA from 1 species
GAUGAACGCUAGCGGCAGGCUUAAUACAUGCAAGUCGAGGGGCAGCAUAAGUAGCAAUACUUGAUGGCGACCGGCAAACGGGUGCGGAACACGUACAGAACCUUCCUUCGAGCGGGGAAUAGCCCGGAGAAAUCCGGAUUAAUACCCCAUAGUAAAUUGAAAAGGCAUCUUUUUAAUUUAAAGAUUUAUCACUUGAAGAUGGCUGUGCGCCUGAUUAGGUAGUUGGCGGGGUAACGGCCCACCAAGCCUUCGAUCAGUAACUGGUGUGAGAGCACGACCAGUCACACGGGCACUGAGACACGGGCCCGACUCCUACGGGAGGCAGCAGUAAGGAAUAUUGGUCAAUGGACGCAAGUCUGAACCAGCCAUGCCGCGUGGAGGAUGAA